AAUGGUAGAGUUUCAUCAUCAUGUCUUAUGUCAUUACCGGAGGAAAAAUGAGACGGAUUUGUGAUUUCUAAAAUCCCAUCUUUUGUUAAUAAUGUUUAUGUGAUGGAAAUGAGUGAGAUUAACAGUUUUGCAGUGAAGACCUAUUAUUGUAUCCGACAUAUGUAAGCAGAACUGUUUAAGAUUUCUUUAGAUGGAACAACAUUUUAUUUGUCGCG
rnacentral:lncRNA from 1 species